rnacentral:rRNA from 1 species
GUAAUGGCUCACCAAGGCGACGCGUGUGUAGCCCAGGAGGAUGAAGUCACACUGAACUGAGACACGGUCCAGACUCCUACGGGAGGCAGCAGUGGGAAUAUUGGACAAUGGGCGAAACCCUGAUCCAGCCAUGCCGCGUGUGUGAAGAAGGUCUUCGGAUUUAAAGCACUUUAAGACGACACGAGCUGACGUAGAUUAAUACUCUCCGAUUUUGACGUUACCGAAAGCACCGGCUAACUCUGUGCCAGCCCGCGGUAAUACAGAGGGUGCAAGCGUUAAUCGGAAUUACNGGGCGUAAAGCGCGCGUAGGUGGUUUGUUAAGUUGGAUGUGAAAUCCCCGGGCUCAACCUGGGAACUGCAUCCAAAACUGGCAAGCUAGAGUAUGGUAGAGGGUGGAGGAAUUUCCUGUGUAGCGGUGAUGCGUAGAUAUAGGAAGGAACACCAGUGGCGAAGGUAUCUAUCUGGACUGAUACUGACACUGAGGUGCGAAAGCGUGGGGAGCAAACAGGAUAGAUACCCUGGUAGUCCACGCCGUAAACCAUGUCAACUAGCCGUUGGGAGCCUUGAGCUCUUAGUGGCGCAGCUAACGCAUUAAGUUGACCGCCUGGGGUACGGCCGCAAGGUUAAAACUCAAGAAUUG